GCCGGGCGUGGUGGUGCACGCCUGUAAUCCCAGCUACUUGAGAGGCUGAGGCAGGAGAAUCACUUGAACUCAGGAGGCAGAGGUUGCAGUGAGCCGAGAUCGCACCACUGCACCCCAGCCUGGGUGACAGAGUGAGACUCUGUCUCAA
ensembl:misc_RNA Metazoa_SRP Metazoan signal recognition particle RNA